CUGAUAAGCUACUUCAGAAAAGUCUCAGGAUACAAAAUCAAGAUGCAAAAAUUACAAGCAUUCCUAUACAGCAAUAACAGACAAACAGAGAGUCAAACUAUGAGUGAACUCCCAUACACAAUCGCUUCGGUCACAAACAAAUGGAAAAACAUUCCAUGCUCAUGGAUAGGAAGAAUCAAUAUCAUGAAAAUGGCCAUACUGCCCAAAGUAAUUUACAGAUUCAAUGCUAUCCCCAUCAAGCUACCAUUGACUUUCUUCACAGAAUUGGAAAAAAUUACUUUGAAUUGCAUAUGAAACAAAAAAAGAGCCUGCAU
rnacentral:lncRNA from 1 species